ACCAUCGACAGUCUCGCUCUCAAUUACACUUACAUUUUAUCCGCCAUCUCUAUUUUAGUGAUGUGAAAUGAAAUGAACAAACACGAAUCCCACUCGCGUCAACGAUUUGCAUACGCAGGCGUAUUUUUUUUUGGUUUGAUCAUGAACACAUCGACUGCUCCUCUAGUCCAAGUGGCCAGUUUGGCGACUCCAUGUCUCUCCAAGAGGAUGACUUUGGGGAAAUAAAAUGAAAUCCAGUAUUCAAUUAGGGCAAAAAGUAGAGCCCGAGAAACAGGAAGCGUGUCUCUUGGGAAUAUUUUUGGCAUCAACUCCAUCUGAUACGGCUUUUACCAAAAAUUACUUCGUUAUUUACCAAUUACCAAACCUAUUAACUGAAUGGGGCAUCUCCCAGUCCAGGCGCCAAUGAAGAAUAAAUGAUUAUAUUACUCGACAUCCACAGUAUUUGCUAGCACAGACUAAAUAAGCCGGGAAAACAAAAGUGCUGCACUAGUGUACUCAGUGCAUUCGCCUGCCCUGCCAACCUUUACGUUCGCCGAAAAGAUAUUCCCAAUCCCCCCUCUACGUCUUCACCAUCCGCCUCUCCAUCUUCCUCGAAUCGCCCACGGGCCGUUAUUUAUAUCGGGGUAAAGCGGAGCAGACAUUUAUCGCCUUUGGGGAUAAGGAGAAAAUGAUCUGUGAUAUCCAUCGCGUCAUCUCUCAUCGUAUCGUCGAUACUAAUAUGAAAUCUCCUCACCAAAGUUGCAAUUAGAAUCUUCAUUUCGAACAGCCCCAUGGUGCGCCCCAGGCAAUUCCGAGGACCCUUAGAAAACGGCAUCCAGAGCUUUUUCAUUCCGUCACACACAUUUCCUUCAAGCCAGCGAGAUGGAUCAAACUUAUCGGGGUGUGGGAAAUAUUCAGGGCUGUGAUGAGUUGUCCAGGUGUGUGUUGAAGCUAUAGUCUAUAUGGGUGGCCAUGGACAGGUGGGAACAGAGAUGCAUCCGUCAGUAAGGCUCUGUUCCAAUAUGCCUUUGAUUGAAGGAAAGGUUUUGUUCUUUGUUACUCACUCCUUGGGGUACAUAUAUGCCAUCUAUGACACAUCCACCAACAGGGGCCUCCCUGAGGAGACCAGAUGGGAGAGGCGGGUAGGCUCGCAAUCCUUCUAUUAUAAGCGCUUCUAGAAAUGGGGCAUUUGAUACACUCUGGUGUUGAAUGACUCCAUCCACUAAUGGAAGGUCGGCGAUCUCGGAACGAAGUCGCUCUGCCAGAUGCGGAUUACGUGCGAGCUCCCAAAAGAGAUAAACCAGAGCUGUCCCCGUGGUAUCGGUCGCUGCGAAACAAAGAUUGCUGAUUUCCACGGCAAUAUCGGAAUCAGCGAGUGCAUCUGGAUCAUUCUCUUUUCUGCCAAUCAUCUUGGUUAGCAAAUCUCGGCGUUGGGAGACACGGCCAUAUUUUUCGAUGUAUUCAUUGAAUCUAUCAAUCCCGUACUGGUUUGAUACAAUAAGAAGUGGUCAGCCAGCAGAUCAAUCGGCGCUCAAAGAUGCGACGCAGCUAUUCUGAAGAAUGGAGCGGGAAACGCCUGGAAUGCCUGCAACUUGUCCAAACUCACCUGGUAGAUGCGCGCUUCCGCAUCGAAGACGAACUUAAUUUUAGGAUGAGGUAUUUUCCGCACAAACCAAGCUGGUAUGGGGAAAGUGCUCUUAAAUGCCCAUGCCAGUAAAAACAAAUCAAAGUCUUUUACGUAUCGUGGCGAUUCGUCGGAAUCCAGUCCCCCAAAGGUCGCCCCAAGGAAAGCUUUGCCUGCAUUAUCCAGAGUGUACAUUUUAAACCAAUGCUUCAUAUCCAAAGCUUCUCCACCCUGCCGCUCCAUUCUGGCCACUAUCUUCUUCACUGAAUUUCGAAAUUCUGGCUCCAUGUCAUCAAGAUGUUGUUUUGAAAACGCAUGGUUUAAUAACCGUCGUCGCUCCCUGUGUGCUGCUGGAUCCGACAAGUGUAAGACACCUGGGCGACCCAUUGUCAUAUACAUUGGUGCUUUGCGGAAUCGAGUCCCCGUUCCAUAGAUCAUAUCAAUGCUCUCCGCACUGGAGAAGCUGAGUUCGUUGGGCCCAAGUUGCACCACGGAGCCGUACUUCUCAUGGAGUUCGUGAACCUUCAUGGCUCGCCGUCCGGCAAGAUCCACGCACAGCAACCAUCCCCCUGUGAUCUUUGCGAGAAUCGGUCCCGGUACCUUGCGGAAUGGGGAGAAAAAAAGCCUAUUCACAACCUAUACAGCUCGCGCAUUGGUCAUUAGUGGAAUCCGCAACGCCGUAUUUACAUUCCAUUCUGUGGGAGAUGCACAUAUAUAUAUGUGUGUUUACAAAUAUAUAUUUGCGCCCAAAGUAAAUGUAUAGAAGAGGCUCACUUUCGCAGCGGUGACGAUAAGGAGGAGGCAAAACACAACAAGGCAUGCGGAGGCUGCGUUCGGAGGUACUGCUAAAACGGGAAGACAUGAUUAAAUCGUGAGCUCCUGGAACUACAUAUGAUACCCGAUGAAUAACUAACAAGGUAGGAUCAUUUUUCCCCUUCCAUGAAAGUUUACCAGUAGCGGAAAGGGAAACACAGAAAGAAGGGGCAAACGCUUAUUUCACCACGGUCUCCAAAAAUAUUUUCACAAUGAUAUCAAACUACAAAGUUUAUCGGCGGAGACUUAUAUAUAGUUCUCAUGACAUGGAUAUCUUCGAACCCGCUUCCGAGAGCUGCGGGUACCUUAUACGUACUAACUACCCUGGUAUAUAAUAUGAACCGGUCUAAGGUGCAUGAUCACAUAAUGGAAUGGAGCCAUACGCAUCUCAUUGUGAAUGGUAGCAACUGCACAUUCGUGUGACUGUCAUACCAUGAUCGCAGAACAUCCACCAAUCAUCAUCUGCGGAUAGGCGACCACAUCCCUACAUACAAAGAAAAGCAACACUGGCAGCAGUCAAAACAAAGCAAGUUCCCUACCCGAAAUCUCUGAAUCACACGGAUCCAACAUGCGUCGCUCUGCUCGCUCCACGAGUAAAGCAAGCGUGUUCCCUACCCCGCUUGCAGCAAAAAGAGCUCUCGAUGCGAUUGCCACUCCCACUACCCCUUGAGACCGCCAGCCACGCCUAGAGAAAACAAUGAUAACAAUGAUGUCUUUCUCGAAUUGACGACCCGGACGUUUGGGAAUAGGAAUAUAUUGUUGGCUUUUCAUCUCUCUGAUCCGGUGCAACGAUUUGAAUUCGCUGGACAUGACUGGAUAUGCUUUUCCUCUGACCCCUCUUACACGGCCACAUAAUCAUUGCAUGCACAUGCACGCGAGCCGAGUACUGAGGACCUGUGCAAUUUGCAAUUAUAUUUGGUCUGUGCGCGCUCGACGUAGACGUACGGCGCAUGCAAAAACCCAUAUACAUAUAUCAUGCUGCCCAACAUGCGCGAGGAAACGUGAAUCGAACCGCACUGCCCGGCACUGAAGGAACGGGUUGCAGAGUCAAUUUCACCCUGAUGACAAGGCAGGCCUCUCCUCCUCUUUGUUUGUUCUCUUUGUUGAGGAAACUAGGCUGGCAGUCCCUUGAGAAAAUUUGCUUUUUGUUUCGUGAGAUGAGUACAUCGGUCGCCUGUGCAUAAUAAUGGGGUAGCCGAUAAAAAUGCGUGUAUUGUGCGGAGUUCUCUACUGUAGGGAGGUCCGCAGAUCCAUCGGGCUGCCGGAGUGACUAGGUGAAUUCCUUCCACCCCCGAUUACAUACCAUCUGGCAAGCGCUUUCAGUUCUCCGCCGCCGCGUUGAGGGGGAUUGGAAAGCACUUCUCUUUAGAUCCUGUAUAGCAUGGCUCACUUUCAGUCAAUUUUUCUCUUGGUAGUUAUAGGAUAUACAGCAGAAUACUAAGGGACU
rnacentral:sRNA from 1 species